rnacentral:rRNA from 1 species
GAGUUUGAUCAUGGCUCAGGAUGAACGCUGGCUACAGGCUUAACACAUGCAAGUCGAGGGGAAACGACGGGGAAGCUUGCUUCCCCGGGCGUCGACCGGCGCACGGGUGAGUAACGCGUAUCCAACCUGCCUCUGACUGAGGGAUAACCCGUCGAAAGUCGGCCUAAUACCUCAUGGCAUCGUCUGCGGGCAUCCAACGACGAUUAAAGAUUUCAUCGGUCAGGGAUGGGGAUGCGUCUGAUUAGCUUGUUGGCGGGGUAACGGCCCACCAAGGCUACGAUCAGUAGGGGUUCUGAGAGGAAGGUCCCCCACAUUGGAACUGAGACACGGUCCAAACUCCUACCGGAGGCAGCAGUGAGGAAUAUUGGUCAAUGGGCGAGAGCCUGAACCAGCCAAGUAGCGUGCAGGAUGACGGCCCUAUGGGUUGUAAACUGCUUUUUAUGCGGGGAUAAAGUGAGGGACGUGUCCUUCAUUGCACGUACCGCAUGAAUAAGGACCGGCUAAUUCCGUGCCAGCAGCCGCGGUAAUACGGAAGGUCCGGGCGUUAUCCGGAUUUAUUGGGUUUAAAGGGAGCGUAGGCCGUGGAUUAAGCGUGUUGUGAAAUGCAGGUGCUCAACGUCUGCACUGCAGCGCGAACUGGUCCACUUGAGUGUGCGCAACGCAGGCGGAAUUCGUCGUGUAGCGGUGAAAUGCUUAGAUAUGACGAAGAACUCCGAUUGCGAAGGCAGCUUGCGGGAGCACAACUGACGCUGAAGCUCGAAAGUGCGGGUAUCGAACAGGAUUAGAUACCCUGGUAGUCCGCACGGUAAACGAUGGAUGCCCGUUGUCAGGCUGUUUCAGCCUGGUGACCAAGCGAAAGCAUUAAGCAUCCCACCUGGGGAGUACGCCGGCAACGGUGAAACUCAAAGGAAUUGACGGGGGCCCGCACAAGCGGAGGAACAUGUGGUUUAAUUCGAUGAUACGCGAGGAACCUUACCCGGGCUUGAAUUGCAGACGAAGGCUUCAGAGAUGAAGCGGCCCUUCGGGGCGUCUGUGAAGGUGCUGCAUGGUUGUCGUCAGCUCGUGCCGUGAGGUGUCGGCUUAAGUGCCAUAACGAGCGCAACCCCUUUCUUCAGUUGCCAUCAGGUGAUGCUGGGCACUCUGGAGACACUGCCACCGCAAGGUGUGAGGAAGGUGGGGAUGACGUCAAAUCAGCACGGCCCUUACGUCCGGGGCUACACACGUGUUACAAUGGCCGGUACAGAGAGUUGAUUUUGUGCAAACACGAAUCUAAUCCUUAAAUCCGGUCCCAGUUCGGACUGGGGUCUGCAAACCCGACCCCAGAAAGCUGGAUUCGCUAGUAAUCGCGCUUCAGCCAUGGCGCGGUGAAAUACGUUUCCCGGGCCCUUGUACACACCGCCCGUCA